rnacentral:tRNA from 1 species
GGGGGUGUAGCUCAGUUGGCAGAGCGCCUCCUUUGCACGGAGGAAGUCAGGAGUUCGAGUCUCCUCACCUCCACCA